UACAUGGGGUGCAAACGUUGCUCGGAAUUAUUGGGCGUAAAGCGCACGUAGGCGGUUUGUUAAGUCGGAUGUGAAAUCCCUCGGCUUAACCGGGGAACUGCAUCUGAUACUGGAUGGCUUGAGUUCGGGAGAGGGAUGCGGAAUUCCAGGUGUAGCGGUGAAAUGCGUAGAUAUCUGGAGGAACACCGGUGGCGAAGGCGGCAUCCUGGACCGACACUGACGCUGAGGAGCGAAAGCCAGGGGAGCAAACGGG
rnacentral:rRNA from 1 species